rnacentral:rRNA from 1 species
AGCGAACGCUGGCGGCAGGCCUAACACAUGCCAGUCGAACGGAUCCUUCGGGAUUAGUGGCGGACGGGUGAGUAACACGUGGGAACGUGCCCUUUGGUUCGGAACAACUCAGGGAAACUUGAGCUAAUACCGGAUGUGCCCUUCGGGGGAAAGAUUUAUCGCCAUUGGAGCGGCCCGCGUCUGAUUAGCUAGUUGGUGAGGUAACGGCCCACCAAGGCGACGAUCAGUAGCUGGUCUGAGAGGAUGAUCAGCCACACUGGGACUGAGACACGGCCCAGACUCCUACGGGAGGCAGCAGUGGGGAAUCUUGCGCAAUGGGCGAAAGCCUGACGCAGCCAUGCCGCGUGAAUGAUGAAGGUCUUAGGAUUGUAAAAUUCUUUCAGCGGGGACGAUAAUGACGGUACCCGCAGAAGAAGCGCCGGCUAACUGCGUG